CACGUAGGGUGCGAGCGUUGUCCGGAAUUAUUGGGCGUAAAGGGCUCGUAGGCGGUGUGUCACGUCGGCCGUGAAAACCUGCAGCUUAACUGUGGGCGUGCGGUCGAUACGGGCAUCACUGGAGUUCGGCAGGGGAGACUGGAAUUCCUGGUGUAGCGGUGAAAUGCGCAGAUAUCAGGAGGAACACCGGUGGCGAAGGCGGGUCUCUGGGCCGAUACUGACGCUGAGGAGCGAAAGCGUGGGGAGCAAACAGG
rnacentral:rRNA from 1 species